UUGUGUGCAAACCAGACAAGGAGUGGGGCAAUUGCUCCCCCCAAGAAGAACCAGUUUAUCGCCGAGUAAGUUCCUAAGUCCCCAAAAAUUCUGCGUGGGCCAAUAAGACCCCAUAUGACUGAUGCAUCGUAGAACACAUGAUCACCAGGGCAGGUCCAAGGGCUGCCUGAUGAAAGGAGCUCACUGUUGCAGAUGUUGGGGAUUGUGUCCAUCAGCCACCAUGCUGUUCCAAGGUACACAAAUGCUGCAAUCAGAGUUCCGACCACCUGUCAUGUUCCAAGAGGUUGCUUAGUGAACACAAUAUGACAGGACCUUGUGUGCAUUUGUGUGGUAGAAAUGGCAGAUAAACUAUAUGGCUAAUAGCUUACCUGAGCCAUGAACAUAGUCCUUGGUGGAAUUUUCAUAUAGUGGCCCAACUUAAAAUCCUGGAGAAACGUCAGAGCUUGGGUCAUGCUGAUGUAGCCAUAUACCUUGAAACACAUAUUCGCGACGGGUCGUCCAGGGUACAAGUACCCAAUGAUGUACUCUGUGAUGAUGUUCAAUCCUGGAGUCUGCAUAAAUAAACAUACAACAGAAGAAUAAAAAACAUGGAACUGGUGCUCUAGUUCUGUAUGGCAUAAUAUGCAAAUCUUUAGAAUCCAUACCUGGUUCGUUGUUGCUGUGAUAAUUCCGACUGGGAGGGUGAAGAAAAAGGCAAUGGCACAUGCGAGCAAUACACCCCACCAGGGCAAUUGGAGUUGCUCAAUGUAGUAUUCGCAAGCAAAUACCGUGAUGGCAAUGUUGGCAAUAAGGAUGCAGAUGAACCACCACUCAGGAACCUGCUUGUAUCUCCUCAUAAGUUUUGUAUGUACAUCCAGUUUCUUCCCUUGAAAAGCUGAUUUACUUAACUGCAAAAUUUCACUGCACAAAAGCAUCAUGAUUCUUAGCUGUUGCCAUCAUGUGAUUCUGCAAAACUGACUGACAAAUUUUGGCAGGAUUUACCUUCCGUGGAAGAGGAGAACGUGAACGAUUGUUGCGGUAAGGGAUGCGAAACCGACACCAUAUGUGACAGAGAAAAAAGUGCUGAGGUAUAGUGGACCAUUCUUCUCGUAGGCCUCUGUGUCGAAAUGGAAAUGCUCGUCCACGAUGGUUGUGAUGUUGUACUUGUGCCCAGAUUCAGUGAAGAGCCCAGAGGAGAAGAUGGGGAAGUUCCGUGCUUUAUAGAAAUUAAACCAGUAGGCGAUGGGUGUGAAUACGUACAUGAUGGUGAGGAAGCCUACAGCGAUGUUUGCAGUGGCGAACCAAGGGCUGGCAAGAGGGCUCCCGAG
rnacentral:lncRNA from 1 species